rnacentral:rRNA from 1 species
CUAAUACAUGCAAGUCGAGCGAGCUGAACCAACAGAUUCACUUCGGUGAUGACGUUGGGAACGCGAGCGGCGGAUGGGUGAGUAACACGUGGGGAACCUGCCCCAUAGUCUGGGAUACCACUUGGAAACAGGUGCUAAUACCGGAUAAGAAAGCAGAUCGCAUGAUCAGCUUAUAAAAGGCGGCGUAAGCUGUCGCUAUGGGAUGGCCCCGCGGUGCAUUAGCUAGUUGGUAGGGUAACGGCCUACCAAGGCAAUGAUGCAUAGCCGAGUUGAGAGACUGAUCGGCCACAUUGGGACUGAGACACGGCCCAAACUCCUACGGGAGGCAGCAGUAGGGAAUCUUCCACAAUGGACGAAAGUCUGAUGGAGCAACGCCGCGUGAGUGAAGAAGGUUUUCGGAUCGUAAAGCUCUGUUGUUGGUGAAGAAGGAUAGAGGUAGUAACUGGCCUUUAUUUGACGGUAAUCAACCAGAAAGUCACGGCUAACUACGUGCCAGCAGCCGCGGUAA